UAGUCCACGCCGUAAACGAUGGAUACUAGCUGUCCGGUGUCUUGAACACUGGGCGGCCAAGCGAAAGUGAUAAGUAUCCCACCUGGGGAGUACGUUCGCAAGAAUGAAACUCAAAGGAAUUGACGGGGGCCCGCACAAGCGGUGGAGCAUGUGGUUUAAUUCGAUGAUACGCGAGGAACCUUACCAGGGCUUAAAUGCAUAUUGACAGGGCCAGAGAUGGCUUUUCCUUCGGGCAAUUUGCAAGGUGCUGCAUGGUUGUCGUCAGCUCGUGCCGUGAGGUGUCAGGUUAAGUCCUAUAACGAGCGCAACCCUUGUCUUUAGUUGCCAUCAUUUAGUUGGGCACUCUAGAGAAACUGACCGGUGACAAACCGGAGGAAGGUAAGGAUGACGUCAAGUCAGCAUGCCCCUUACGCUCUGGGCUACACACGUGCUACAAUGGUCGUGACAAAGAGUUGCUAGUCUGCGAAGGCAAAGCCAAAUCUCAUAAACGCGGCCUU
rnacentral:rRNA from 1 species